rnacentral:rRNA from 1 species
UCCAGACUCCUACGGGAGGCAGCAGUGGGGGAUAUUGCACAAUGGGGGGAACCCUGAUGCAGCGACGCCGCGUGAGUGAAGAAGUAUUUCGGUAUGUAAAGCUCUCUCAGCAGGGAAGAAAAUGACGGUACCUGACCAAGAAGCCCCGGCUAACUACGUGCCAGCAGCCGCGGUAAUACGUAGGGGGCAAGCGUUAUCCGGAUUUACUGGGUGUAAAGGGAGCGUAGACGGCUGAGCAAGUCAGAAGUGAAAGCCCGGGGGGCAACCCCGGGACUGCUUUUGAAACUGCGGAGCUGGAGUGCAGUAGAGGUAAGCGGAAUUCCUGGUGUAGCGGUGAAAUGCGUAGAUAUCAGGAGGAACACCAGUGGCGAAGGCGGCUUACUGGACUGUAACUGACGUUGAGUCUCGAAAGCGUGGGGAGCAAACAGGAUUAGAUACCCGUGUA